rnacentral:rRNA from 5 species
AAAACGACUCUCGGCAACGGAUAUCUCGGCUCUCGCAUCGAUGAAGAACGUAGCGAAAUGCGAUACUUGGUGUGAAUUGCAGAAUCCCGUGAACCAUCGAGUCUUUGAACGCAAGUUGCGCCCGAAGCCUUCUGGUUGAGGGCACGCCUGCCUGGGCGUCACGC